GGUGAACGCUGGCGGCGUGCUUAACACAUGCAAGUCGAGCGGGGUUUUCGGACCUAGCGGCGGACGGGUGAGUAAUGCGUAGGAAGCUACCCGAUAGAGGGGGAUACCAGUUGGAAACGACUGUUAAUACCGCAUAAUGUCUACGGACCAAAGUGUGGGACCUUCGGGCCACAUGCUAUCGGAUGCGCCUACGUGGGAUUAGCUAGUUGGUGAGGUAAUGGCUCACCAAGGCGACGAUCCCUAGCUGGUUUGAGAGGAUGAUCAGCCACACUGGAACUGAGACACGGUCCAGACUCCUACGGGAGGCAGCAGUGGGGAAUAUUGGACAAUGGGCGCAAGCCUGAUCCAGCCAUGCCGCGUGUGUGAAGAAGGCCUUCGGGUUGUAAAGCACUUUCAGUAGGGAGGAAGCGUUGUGUGUUAAUAGUACACAGCGUUGACGUUACCUACAGAAGAAGCACCGGCUAACUCUGUGCCAGCCGCCGCAGUAAUAC
rnacentral:rRNA from 1 species